rnacentral:rRNA from 1 species
UUACUGAGUGAGGGCCCUCUGGGUCCAACCUCCCACCCGUGUUUAUUGUACCUUGUUGCUUCGGUGCGCCCGCCUCACGGCCGCCGGGGGGCUUCUGCCCCCGGGUCCGCGCGCACCGGAGACACUAUUGAACUCUGUCUGAAGAUUGCAGUCUGAGCAUAAACUAAAUAAGUUAAAACUUUCAACAACGGAUCUCUUGGUUCCGGCAUCGAUGAAGAACGCAGCGAAAUGCGAUAACUAAUGUGAAUUGCAGAAUUCAGUGAAUCAUCGAGUCUUUGAACGCACAUUGCGCCCCCUGGUAUUCCGGGGGGCAUGCCUGUCCGAGCGUCAUUGCUGCCCUCAAGCACGGCUUGUGUGUUGGGCUCCGUCCCCCCGGGGACGGGUCCGAAAGGCAGCGGCGGCACCGAGUCCGGUCCUCGAGCGUAUGGGGCUUUGUCACCCGCUCUGUAGGCCCGGCCGGCGCCAGCCGACAACCAAUCAUCCUUUUUUCAGGUUGACCUCGGAUCAGGUAGGGAUACCCGCUGAACUUAAGCAUAUCAAUAAGCGGAGGAAAAGAAACCAACAGGGAUUACCUCAGUAACGGCGAGUGAAGCGGUAAGAGCUCAAAUUUGAAAGCUGGCUCCUUCGGGGUCCGCAUUGUAAUUUGCAGAGGAUGUUUCGGGAGCAGCCCCCAUCUAAGUGUCCUGGAAACGGACGUCAUAGAGGG